AAAUAUACUAUACACCUAUCCAUAUAUGUUUGCUGGAAAACUACGAGCAGAAGCUUAAAACUCAAAGGAUUUGGCGGCGCUUUAAAUUCCCUAGAGGAGCUUGUCCUAUAAUCGAUAAUCCCCGCUAAACCUUACCUUCUCUUGCCUUCAGCCUAUAUACCGCCGUCGUCAGCCCACCCUCUGAAGACCUAACAGUAGGCGAGAUCGGCCCAGCCCCAAACGUCAGGUCAAGGUAUAGCAUACGAGAAGAGAAGAGAUGAGCUACACUUCCUAACCAGGGCUACGGAAGAUCUAUUGAAAAAUAGAUUUAAAGUAGAAUUUAGCAGUAAGUAAAAAAUAGAGUGUUUUACUGAAGUUAAAAUUAAUGCGCGCACACACCGCCCGUCGCUCUCUCCUAACUUUAACUUAAACUAUAAAUAAAUCCCUAUAACUAUUAAAGGGGAGAAAAGUCGUAACAUGGUAAGUGUACUGGAAAGUGCGCUUGGUUAAACAGAACAUAGCUAAAAUA
rnacentral:rRNA from 1 species